GCUUGGAAUAAAAUGAAGCCAAGCCCCAGCCCCUCAGUUAGUGAUGUUCUUAUUCAAGUGGUUUUGGUUUGGCUUCCUCAGACACUAUUCCAUGUUGCCUAAUAGUUAAAAAGCUCCAAUUUUAUAGUCAGUGCAUCUUUCUGUGGGUCCCCAGAGAAGGAAAGACAGUGAGAAGUGAAGGAGCAGCUCCAUGGAAGAGCACAGACGCUCUAGCAGGAACUUCGCAGCUACUCUCUUCAACAUGACAUCGAACUUCACUUCCCCCUUGGAAGCUAGAUUCGGCCAUGUGAUUAGCUGCAGCUAAUGUUUGUGAGUGCAAGCCUUACAAAUUGAUGUGCAGAUUGCUACAUCCCCUCCCCACUGCCAAAUGAUGGUGAAAGCAUUUGUCAAGAUGAUGCCUCUUGAGUCUCCAUAUCUUUCUUCUGACUUGCUCUGGACAUAUAGUAUAAUUGAGCAAACUAGACCAUUUUGAGAGUAAAAGGGACAACAGGCACAAUUUGAAAAUGUAUGGUUAUCCUAGGGAAACGUUAUGUUAAGCCACUGAGACCUGGGGGGUGUUUUUUUCUGCAGCAUAACCCAGUCUAUCCUGAUUGAUAUAUCAAUGCAUGUAUAAAAAUCCUCAAGAACCCAUUCGUAGAAGUGCAACAAAUGACUCAUGUUGCACUCUAACUGUGUGAGCUUGAUAAGAAAAUGGACUCUACCAUCUAGGCCUAAGGUGAGUCAGCUACAUUGACGCUGACAAGUGAGUAACCUGCUGGGAUCCAGAGCUCUUGGCUUCCAACUGAAAGCUUUUCUUCAGAUCUUUCCAAGGAAAUGUUACCGAGGAGCUACAUUUAGGACAAAAGCUGCUGACGUGAGAAAAGGGUUAGUAUCGCCCAGAAAGACUAGCCUCAGUCUUGUGUGUGUGACCCUAUCUGCUUAAGGGUAUGGCAUCAAGUGUUCACCGUGGAGCAGCUCGAGGCAACCUACAGCGUUUGAUUUGACCAGCAGAGUACUGUAGACCAAACAUGAGCUUGCAUGCCUUUCGAUUGAGCAAGCACUCUCAGGUUGGCCAUUGCCCUCUGUUUCUUCCUGUCAUUUGCUCCUGCUCUUUUCCACUUCCUCACUUCAGUUACAUUACCCGCCUGGCUUCUGAAGGCGUUUGAGUUUGGAACUCUGCAGAGAAGCAUUGCGCCUGAAAAGGAAAGCACAGCAGCCUGUGUGGAUGGAAACAGGACACUUCACCGCUGCAGUGUUCCUUCCGUAAGUCCAUAACCCCAGUCUAUUCGUGAGGAUAAUAAUCAGACAAGUCUAGAUUAGGAGACAUCCUACAGGAUAACUGGAUAGUAUUCCUAAAGCCUAUCAAGGUCAUGAAAAGCCAGGAAAGACCGAAGACUGUCAGAGGCUAGAAGCAAAUGGAGAGACAUGACAACGAAAUGCAUGGUAGUGUCCUGGGUCAGACACUGGAAUAGUAACAGGCCGUCAACAGGAACACUGGUGAAGUCUGAAGGAUGUCUGGAUUCAGUUAACAGUUAUGUACCAACAAUGGGCUCUCCGUUCUGACAAAGGUACCAUGGUAAUGUAAGAUGUUAACAAUACAAGGAACUGGGUGAGGGGUAUACAGGAACUCUCUGUUGCUUACAUGUGCAACUUUUCUGGAAAUCUAAAAUUAUUCCAAAAUAAAAAUUGUUUAAAUCCUUGUUUGUAUAGUGAUGAAAAAAGGAAUAAGCCCAUGGAGAGCCCAUUUCUUCCCUUCUCACCACAUUCCAGAUACUUGAGAUGCAGUCAUUCUUUGCUUACAUGUCUCCAGACCUGCAUGGGACUCCUCUAGGUCUCCAUCUUCCAAAUGGAGACCAUGCCACCAUUAUAGUCCACCUAGGCCCUUGUGGUCACCAAAAGGAGGCUGUUUACAAGCUCAUGUGGACAGGGCUUGGAUAGGCAAGCUAGUGUGCCUAUGUGCAGGAAGCUCCUUGUGGGGUCGGAUGAAGCCAGGGAAUGGGAAAAGAAGGCAGGUGAGCUACCAAUGGGGAUCCCUAGCUGUCCCAGGUCAUCACAUUCUGGGGAGAACUCAGAGAAGUCCAAGAAGGCUGCAGCUGAUCCUAGCCUCUCAUAUCUUUACACAGACAUAUUUACGAAAGUAGGAGACAGAACAUAUUAAUUCAUCGGUCUUUUGGCUUGAUGUAAAAGUUUUAGGUAUCCAGACAUAUGGUGCGUGGGCCUCCACUGGUAUCUGAGUGAGAAGACACAUGGGCCAGAUGCUGUGAAUCUCUCUUCACACCUGCUAGAAGCGGUGCUCAGGGCUGUUGCCCUUCACCUUGCUUUGCAAUGUGUAUUUCUUAGUAGAAGUUGCAGAAGCCCAAUCAAACAAGCAGAACAUGGCACAGCAGCCUCAGGACAGAAUUCACCAUCCCCCUACCAGACACCGCAUCCCAGAGCAGGAGAUGUCACCCAAGUAGGGAUAAAGGAUAUCGUAGCUUUCUUUACAAAAGAUCCACAUGUCAAAAUACAUGUGGUUGGCUUUAAACACAACGAGAAAGACACAAAAGGAUCACAGUUGAAGUCUUAUGGGAAAAAUGACCAGAAUCAAUGCUGAAAUUUUAGCAAGGAGCAGGCAUAACCUUUGUUCUACUAGAACUGGGGAAGUAUGUAUAUGUGUGUGUUGAAGAGAUGAGGACCAGUCCAUUCCGAGGUCAGAUCUGCCCUGCAAGCCAGGCUGCUGUGCCCCACAUUUCAGAAUAAGGCAUCAGGCCCCACCCAGGGAACAGCAUCUGGGGUCACUAGUGUGGCCUUCACCACAACAGACACCCUUUAAACAAACAUAAGAUAUAAAGUUACAGAAAGCAUAUAUUUAUAAACAAUAAGUAUGUAAACAUAAUAAAAUUUAAAUAAAUAUGCAUAAAUAGAAUACGUAUUUUAUAAAAAGGAAGCCU